GUGGGGAAUAUUGGGCAAUGGGCGAAAGCCUGACCCAGCAACGCCGCGUGAAGGAAGAAGGUUUUCGGAUCGUAAACUUCUAUCCUUGGUGAAGAUAAUGACGGUAGCCAAGAAGGAAGCCACGGCUAACUACGUGCCAGCAGCCGCGGUAAUACGUAGGGGGCAAGCGUUGUCCGGAAUGAUUGGGCGUAAAGGGCGCGUAGGCGGCCCGGUAAGUCUGAAGUGAAAGUCCUGCUUUUAAGGUGGGAAUUGCUUUGGAUACUGUCGGGCUUGAGUGCAGGCGAGGUAAGCGGAAUUCCCGGUGUAGCGGUGAAAUGCGUAGAGAUCGGGAGGAACACCAGUGGCGAAGGCGGCUUACUGGACUGUAACUGACGCUGAGGCGCGAAAGUGUGGGGAGCAAACAGGAUUAGAAACCCUUGUAGUCC
rnacentral:rRNA from 1 species